rnacentral:rRNA from 1 species
UUGACGGGGCCCGCACAAGCGGUGGAGCAUGUGGUUUGAUUCGAUGAUACGCGAGGAACCUUACCUGGGCUCAAAUGUAUGUUGACGUAUUCUGAAAGGGAUACUUCUUCGGACAAUAUACAAGGUGCUGCAUGGUUGUCGUCAGCUCGUGCCGUGAGGUGUCGGGUUAAGUCCCAUAACGAGCGCAACCCUAUCAUUAGUUGCCAUCAGGUCAAGCUGGGGACUCUAAUGAAACUGCCUACGCAAGUAGUGAGGAAGGUGGGGAUGACGUCAAAUCAGCACGGCCCUUACGUCCAGGGCUACACACGUGCUACAAUGGCCGGUACAAAGGGCAGCUACCUGGUGACAGGAUGCUAAUCUCAAAAGCCGGUCUCAGUUCGGAUCGGAGUCUGCAACCCGACUCCGUGAAGCUGGAAUCGCUAGUAAUCGUGGAUCAGCAUGCCACGGUGAAUACGUUCCCGGGCCUU